rnacentral:rRNA from 1 species
CAAAGGAGCAAUCCGCUGAAAGAUGGGCUCGCGUCCGAUUAGGUAGUUGGCGGGGCAACGGCCCACCAAGCCGACGAUCGGUAGCCGGACUGAGAGGUUGAACGGCCACAUUGGGACUGAGACACGGCCCAGACUCCUACGGGAGGCAGCAGUGAGGGAUAUUGGUCAAUGGGGGAAACCCUGAACCAGCAACGCCGCGUGAGGGAAGACGGUUUUCGGAUUGUAAACCUCUGUCCUCUGUGAAGAUGAUGACGGUAGCAGAGGAGGAAGCUCCGGCUAACUACGUGCCAGCAGCCGCGGUAAUACGUAGGGAGCAAGCGUUGUCCGGAUUUACUGGGUGUAAAGGGUGCGUAGGCGGCUUUGCAAGUCAGAAGUGAAAUCCAUGGGCUUAACCCAUGAACUGCUUUUGAAACUGCAGAGCUUGAGUGGAGUAGAGGUAGGCGGAAUUCCCGGUGUAGCGGUGAAAUGCGUAGAGAUCGGGAGGAACACCAGUGGCGAAGGCGGCCUGCUGGGCUCUAACUGACGCUGAGGCACGAAAGCGUGGGUAGCAAACAGAAUUAGAUACCCUGGUAGUCCACGCUGUAAACGAUGAUUACUAGGUGUGGGUGGACUGACCCCAUCC